AUACGGAAGGUCCGGGCGUUAUCCGGAUUUAUUGGGUUUAAAGGGAGCGCAGGCGGAGAUGCAAGCGUGACAUCAAAUUUCGGGGCUCAACCCCGUCUCGCGUCGCGAACUGCGUCCCUUGGUUGCGGGAAGGGGAGGCGGAACUCGUGGUGUAGCGGUGAAAUUCAUAGAUAUCACGAAGAACUCCGAUCGCGAAGGCAGCCUUCCGGCCCGUCAAGGACGCUCAUUCUCGAAGGUGCGAGUAUCAGACAGGAUUAGAGACCCUGGUAGUCCGCACAGUAAACGAUGGACACCCGCGGUUUGGCCUGUAUGGGUGAGCCGCCAAGCGAAAGCGUUAAGUGUCCCACCUGGGGAGUGCGGCGGCAACGGUGAAACUCAAAUGAAUGGACGGGG
rnacentral:rRNA from 1 species